rnacentral:rRNA from 1 species
CCUACGGGUGGCAGCAGUGAGGAAUAUUGGUCAAUGGGCUUACGCCUGAUCCAGCAACGUCGCGUGAGUGAAGACUGCCCUAUGGGUUGUAAACCUCUUUUGUCAGGGAGCAAUUGGCGCUACGUGUAGCGUUAUCGAGAGUACCUGACGUACAAGCAUCGGCAAUCUCCGUGCCAGCAGCCGCGGUAAUACGGAGGAUGCGACCGUUAUCCGGCGUUAUGGGGUUUAAAGGGUGCGUAGGCGGAAUGCCAAGUCAGCGGUAAAAUCGCGGGGCUAAACCUCGCUCCGCCGUUGAAACUGGCGGUCUUGAGUGGGCGAGAGGUAUGCGGAAUGCGUGGUGUAGCGGUGAAAUGCAUAGAUAUCACGCAGAACACCAGUGGCGAAGGCAGCAUACCGGCGCCCAACUGACGCUGAGGCACGAAAGCGUGGGUAGCGAACAGGAUUAGAUACCCGAGUAGUC